GGGACCAACCCCAUCGAUUGGCUUUUCUUCUGAACAAUCUGGAAAGUAGGAGGAAGCUAUGAUGGCUUCAUAUCCAGAGACCUCGGGAGCCUUCUUCUCUAGUCUUCAAAAAAAGAAUCCAGCGAGGACUUGAAUCAGAAAUGCACUUACAGACUUUGGAUAAAGGCUUGUUAAGUUAUACAUUCAUUAGUUGCUUAAAAGCUGCGAAACAUAUGAAAACAUGGAAGAUCAAAAUUCAACAUGAUUAGAUGGUUCUUGUCAAUCACUUGGUACGAAACUGAUUGACUUAUUUUUAACGGACCCCAAGCAAAUGAAUGAUAUGAGAAACUGCAGUCAUCCAUCCUCCAAUUCUUGUGAUCCAAACUCUGCCUUAGAUUGAACAGUUGGAAAGUUCUACUACAAAUGGAGAUUUGUCGAUCAGAUAUCUCGAUGAAUAUGGAGCAGGCAUAAAAGCAGAAGCUUUUGAAGCAGAUUUGCUUUCUUGUAGACGUCAUUCAGAAUCUCGUGGAUGGAGGCAUUCGUGGCAAUGUUUGCCUCUAUGAAUACGCUGACUGCACCAUCAAAACAAGAGAACUUGCAGUCAUGGCCAAAUAAUAGUUUAAAUGGAAUUCUUCUGAUGAUACUCCAUUUAGAUGGACUGGCAUUUCUUGUCAUCCACCAAAGUGCCAUGUCUAUAAACUUAUCCUAUAUGCAACUUAGAGGGAUUAUAUCUAUCAGUAUUGGUAAAUUAAG